AUUUGCCUUGACUGAGCUCUCCUCUGCAGAGAAAGGCUGACAGUUUCCUUUAUUCCAUGUAGGACCUGUUCUAAAUAUCUGAAUGCAUCUUGUAGCAAUGAAAUCUACAUACACAGUUUGACUGAAUAUCAAAGGAAGAAGAUCAACAGUGAUACAGCCCUUAUUAGCCUUUCUAUCUCAGUGCAAAGAAUACAACAUCCAGAAGCUGGGAAAGAGGGAAUUAAAUUAAUUCAUUUUCCUUCAGUCUGGCACUACCUUCAGUG